GGCCUUGACCAACACGGAUACUCGACCGCCCGUUCCGCAAAUGAUCGCCUUUAUUGACGAUUAUCGUGACGUUUAUGGUGUCGAGCCGAUCUGCCGCAUUUUGGAGAUCGCACCA
rfam:Erythrobacter sp. SCN 62-14 ABS49_C0027, whole genome shotgun sequence.